rnacentral:misc_RNA from 1 species
CAANGGCACCAAAUCGCGANNCUAGCAAAUCCCUAAACCGUGGCUCAGUUCAGAUCGUAGGCUGCAACUCGCCUACGUGAAGUAGGAAUCGCUAGUAAUCGCAGGUCAGCAUACUGCGGUGAAUACGUUCCCGGGCCUUGUACACACCGCCCGUCACACCAUGGAAGUUGGCCAUGCCCGAAGUCGUUACUCCAACCCUUGUGGAGGAGGACGCCGAAGGUGGGGCUAAUGACUGGGGUGAAGUCGUAACAAGGUAGCCGUACCGGAAGGUGCGGCUGGAUCACCUCCUAACAGGGAGACAACAAAAUGUAAAUAUUAAUUUUGUCACCUUAGGUCGAUCGGUAUCUCAGAUUCUUAUUUUUUAAGAAUUUCAGUUUCUAAGUUUUUUCUAGGUCACACCCAUCACUUUUUCCUGGGCCAUUAGCUCAGGUGGUUAGAGCGCACCCCUGAUAAGGGUGAGGUCCCUGGUUCAAGUCCAGGAUGGCCCAUAUCUCUAUGUUGGGGGUAUAGCUCAGUUGGUAGAGCGCCUGCUUUGCAAGCAGGAUGUCAGCGGUUCGAGUCCGCUUACCUCCACUGAAUACCACCUCUUACAUAUAUUUAAAGAGGGAAAUUGUUUUGAGUCGUGUCCUAAUUUGCUCUGAGCGAAUCUAGCUUCCUAUUUUAUUCAAAAAUAAGAUGCUGGACUCAUUGAAUUUUUUUCAUUGUUUUCAGAGAACCUUGACAACUGCAUAGAUUAUUUUUGAAGACAAUAAGCAUCUUUUAAUGAUGCAGAUUUAUUAUUUGUGCGAAUGCAUUAAAUAACAAUUCUAUUAAGCUGAUGCUUCAAUUAUUGAAGUUAUUGGUCAAGCUACAAAGGGCUCACGGAGGAUACCUAGGCACACAGAGGCGAUGAAGGACGUGGUUACCUGCGAUAAGUCUCGGGGAGUUGGAAGCACACUUUGAUCCGGGAAUUUCCGAAUGGGGCAACCCCUUGAACGACCAACUGAAUAUAUAGGUUGGUGCGAGCUAACCCAGCGAACUAAACAUCUUA